UACGGAGGGGGCUAGCGUUGUUCGGAAUUACUGGGCGUAAAGGGCGCGUAGGCGGCCUGCUAAGUCGGAUGUGAAAUCCCUCGGCUCAACCGAGGAACUGCAUCCGAUACUGGCGGGCUUGAAUCCGGGAGAGGGAUGUGGAAUUCCAGGUGUAGCGGUGAAAUGCGUAGAUAUCUGGAGGAACACCGGUGGCGAAGGCGGCAUCCUGGACCGGUAUUGACGCUGAGGCGCGAGAGCUAGGGGAGCAAACGGG
rnacentral:rRNA from 1 species